rnacentral:tRNA from 1 species
GAGGGUAUAGCUUAGUGAUAGAGGACUUGCUUAGCAUUCAUGAGGUCCUGGGUUCCAUCCCCAGUACCUCCA